GACGAACGCUGGCGGCGUGCUUAACACAUGCAAGUCGAGCGGUGAACCACUUCGGUGGGGAUCAGCGGCGAACGGGUGAGUAACACGUGGGCAACCUGCCCCUAGCUCUGGGGAUAACCCCGGGAAACCGGGGCUAAUACCGGAUAUGACCUCGAGCGGCAUCUCUCGAGGUGGAAAGAUUUAUUGGCUAGGGAUGGGCCCGCGGCCUAUCAGCUUGUUGGUGGGUAACGGCCUACCAAGGCGACGACGGGUAGCCGGCCUGAGAGGGCGACCGGCCACACUGGGACUGAGACACGGCCCAGACUCCUACGGGAGGCAGCAGUGGGGAAUAUUGCGCAAUGGGCGAAAGCCUGACGCAGCGACGCCGCGUGAGGACGAA
rnacentral:rRNA from 1 species